AAUUUUACCUGGCAGGAUGGCCAUUACAUCAAGAAGGUGGUUCACCCGCUACGCAGGCUUAACCAUUGUUCUCGGUUAUAAAGUUGACCUCGCGCUAAAUUCCCGUCGUGGAAUCUCUCGACUGCAUAAUUUGUGUGGUGGGGACUGCGUCACAAUACCCCUG